AUGAACGCUAGCGGGAGGCUUAACACAUGCAAGUCGAGGGGUAUGAGUAGCAAUAUUCAGAGACCGGCGCACGGGUGAGUAACGCGUAUGCAACCUGCCCUUUACAGGGGGAUAGCCCGUCGAAAGGCGGAUUAAUACCCCAUAAUAUUGUACUACCGCAUGGUAGAACGAUAAAAGCUUUGGCGGUAAAGGAUGGGCAUGCGUGACAUUAGCUAGUUGGUAGGGUAACGGCCUACCAAGGCUACGAUGUCUAGGGGUUCUGAGAGGAAGGUCCCCCACACUGGUACUGAGACACGGACCAGACUCCUACGGGAGGCAGCAGUGAGGAAUAUUGGUCAAUGGGCGGGAGCCUGAACCAGCCAUCCCGCGUGCAGGAAGACGGCCCUAUGGGUUGUAAACUGCUUUUGUGCAGGAAGAACGCUCGAUACGUGUAUUGAGGUGACGGUACUGCAUGAAUAAGCACCGGCUAACUCCGU
rnacentral:rRNA from 1 species